UACGUAGGGUGCAGGCGUUAAUCGGAAUUACUGGGCGUAAAGCGUGCGCAGGCGGUCUUUCAAGUCAGAUGUGAAAUCCCCGGGCUUAACCUGGGAACUGCGUUUGAAACUGAAAGGCUAGAGUGUGGCAGAGGGGGGUGGAAUUCCACGUGUAGCAGUGAAAUGCGUAGAGAUGUGGAGGAACACCGAUGGCGAAGGCAGCCCCCUGGGCUAACACUGACGCUCAUGCACGAAAGCGUGGGGAGCAAACAGG
rnacentral:rRNA from 1 species